AGUGAACGCUGGCGGUAGGCCUAACACAUGCAAGUCGAACGGCAGCACAGUAAGAGCUUGCUCUUACGGGUGGCGAGUGGCGGACGGGUGAGGAAUACAUCGGAAUCUACUUUUUCGUGGGGGAUAACGUAGGGAAACUUACGCUAAUACCGCAUACGACCUACGGGUGAAAGCAGGAGAUCUUCGGACCUUGCGCGAUUGAAUGAGCCGAUGUCGGAUUAGCUAGUUGGCGGGGUAAAGGCCCACCAAGGCGACGAUCCGUAGCUGGUCUGAGAGGAUGAUCAGCCACACUGGAACUGAGACACGGUCCAGACUCCUACGGGAGGCAGCAGUGGGGAAUAUUGGACAAUGGGCGCAAGCCUGAUCCAGCAAUACCGCGUGGGUGAAGAAGGCCUUCGGGUUGUAAAGCCCUUUUGUUGGGAAAGAAAAGCAGCAGGUUAAUACCCCGCUGUUCUGACGGUACCCAAAGAAUAAGCACCGGCUAACUUCGUG
rnacentral:rRNA from 1 species